rnacentral:rRNA from 1 species
UACGGAGGGGGCUAGCGUUGUUCGGAAUUACUGGGCGUAAAGCGCGCGUAGGCGGCUUUGUAAGUUAGAGGUGAAAGCCCAGGGCUCAACCCUGGAAUUGCCUUUAAGACUGCAUCGCUUGAACAUCGGAGAGGUAAGUGGAAUUCCGAGUGUAGAGGUGAAAUUCGUAGAUAUUCGGAAGAACUCCAGUGGCGAAGGCGACUUACUGGACGAUUGUUGACGCUGAGGUGCGAAAGCGUGGGGAGCAAACAGG